CAGGUGGAUUCCGAAAAACCUUAAACGAGUAGGAA
rfam:Bacteroidetes bacterium GWF2_49_14 gwf2_scaffold_705, whole genome shotgun sequence.